rnacentral:siRNA from 1 species
CUCCGACACUUUUAUACCGCCGCC